rnacentral:rRNA from 1 species
GACCCGCGUCUGAUUAGCUAGUUGGUAAGGUAACGGCUUACCAAGGCGACGAUCAGUAGCCGACCUGAGAGGGUGAUCGGCCACAUUGGAACUGAGACACGGUCCAAACUCCUACGGGAGGCAGCAGCGGGGAAUAUUGCACAAUGGGCGAAAGCCUGAUGCAGCAACGCCGCGUGAGUGAUGAAGGCCUUCGGGUCGUAAAACUCUGUCCUCAAGGCAGAUACUGACGGUACUUGAGGAGGAAGCCCCGGCUAA